AGACGCCGAGAAACCUUGUUUUUAAGGUCCAUGUAAACGUUGCUAUUUGAAAUUACAUCGGUAAGAAUGAAACAUCCCGCUCUUGCCUGCAGGAUCUAAGACACUUUGAUGCAGAGAAGCAGCCUCGAUUUCUAUCCAGCAUGUAUAAGGACUCUGCUGGGAUCAAAGACCUAAAAUAAUACAGUGGUGGCUGACGCUUAAAUGAGAGUGAGCAUGGUGCUCGGUGAAGGUGUGGAGGUGGCAAGGCCAGAGUCCUGACUGAGAUCAUCCAGAUGGAGUGCUGUGUGAGACGAUGAGAGCCGAGAUCAGAGGCAUGUGGAACUUGGUAGUGAUCAGUUAGGGGAGAGGUCCUUGUGGUUGUGUUAUGUGGGAUGCUGCAACAGCAUGGCUUGAUGAGCGGUGCCACGUCCAUGGCCAGGAUCCGAACCAGUGAAACCCUGGGCCGCUGAAGUGGAGCAUGAAUUAACCACUGGGCCACAGGGCCAACCUCCUCAGACCACA
rnacentral:lncRNA from 1 species